CGACUACGAGUUUGAUCCUGGCUCAGAUUGAACGCUGGCGGCAUGCUUUACACAUGCAAGUCGAACGGUAACAGGUCUUCGGGUGCUGACGAGUGGCGAACGGGUGAGUAAUGCAUCGGAACGUGCCCAAUCGGUGGGGGAUAACGUAGCGAAAGUUACGCUAAUACCGCAUAAGCCCUGAGGGGGAAAGUGGGGGGACCGCAAGGCCUCACGCGAAUGGAGCGGCCGAUGUCAGAUUAGCUAGUUGGUGGGGUAAAGGCUCACCAAGGCGACGAUCUGUAGCGGGUCUGAGAGGAUGAUCCGCCACACUGGGACUGAGACACGGUCCAGACUCCUACGGGAGGCAGCAGUGGGGAAUUUUGGACAAUGGGGGCAACCCUGAUCCAGCCAUGCCGCGUGAGUGAAGAAGGCCUUCGGGUUGUAAAGCUCUUUCGGCCGGGAAGAAAUCGCAUGGGUUAAUACCCUGUGUGGAUGACGGUACCGGCAUAAGAAGCACCGGCUAACUACGUG
rnacentral:rRNA from 1 species